UACGAAGGUCCCAAGCGUUAUCCGGAUUUAUUGGGUUUAAAGGGUGCGUAGGCGGGUUAUUAAGUCAGUGGUGAAAGCCUUCAGCUUAACUGAAGAACUGCCAUUGAUACUGAUGAUCUUGAGUAUGAUUGAGGUGGGCGGAAUGUGUCAUGUAGCGGUGAAAUGCUUAGAUACGACACAGAACACCGAUUGCGAAGGCAGCUCACUAAGCCAUAACUGACGCUGAUGCACGAAAGCGUGGGGAGCAAACAGG
rnacentral:rRNA from 1 species